rnacentral:rRNA from 1 species
GACGAACGCUGGCGGCGUGCUUAACACAUGCAAGUCGAACGGAAAGGCCCUGCUUUUGUGGGGUGCUCGAGUGGCGAACGGGUGAGUAACACGUGAGUAACCUGCCCCUGACUUUGGGAUAACUUCAGGAAACUGGGGCUAAUACCGGAUAGGAGCUCCUGCUGCAUGGUGGGGGUUGGAAAGUUUCGGCGGUUGGGGAUGGACUCGCGGCUUAUCAGCUUGUUGGUGGGGUAGUGGCUUACCAAGGCUUUGACGGGUAGCCGGCCUGAGAGGGUGACCGGCCACAUUGGGACUGAGAUACGGCCCAGACUCCUACGGGAGGCAGCAGUGGGGAAUAUUGCACAAUGGGCGGAAGCCUGAUGCAGCAACGCCGCGUGCGGGAUGACGGCCUUCGGGUUGUAAACCGCUUUCGCCUGUGACGAAGCGUGAGUGACGGUAAUGGGUAGAGAAGCACCGGCUAACUACGUG